GACGAACGCUGGCGGCAGGCCUAACACAUGCCAGUCGAGCGGAGCGGCGGACGGGUGAGUAAUGCCUAGGAAUCGGCCUGGUAGUGGGGGAUAACGUCCGGAAACGGGCGCUCAUACCGCAUACUAUCAGAUGAGGCUAUGUCGGAUUAGCUAGUUGGUGGGGUAAAGGCUCACCAAGGCGACGAUCCCUAGCUGGUCUGAGAGGAUGAUCAGCCACAGUGGGACUGAGACACGGCCCAGACUCCUACGGGAGGCAGCAGUGGGGAAUAUUGCACAAUGGGCGCAAGCCUGAUGCAGCCAUGCCGCGUGUAUGAAGAAGGCCCUAGGGUUGUAAAGUACUUUCAGUCGGGAGGCGUUACCGACAGAAGAAGCACCGGCUAACUCCGUGCCAGCAGCCGCGGUAAUAC
rnacentral:rRNA from 1 species